rnacentral:lncRNA from 1 species
GGACUGAUUUUCUUCUUUGAGGGAGUUUCAUUUUUGGAGCCAUUCUCACCACAAGAGCAAGCAAGGAGACUUGGAAGAUCAAAUGGGUGAGGAGAAGGAGGGUUAUUAGGGGAUGGAAAGGGAUUUUUGGAGAAGAGAAAUCCCGAUUUGGAGAAGAAUGGUGGAAGCUAGGGCACGCUCCAACCGCUCCAAUCAAGGG